rnacentral:rRNA from 1 species
UGGGGAAUAUUGCACAAUGGGGGAAACCCUGAUGCAGCGACGCCGCGUGAGUGAAGAAGUAUUUCGGUAUGUAAAGCUCUAUCAGCAGGGAAGAGAAUGACGGUACCUGACUAAGAAGCCCCGGCUAACUACGUGCCAGCAGCCGCGGUAAUACGUAGGGGGCAAGCGUUAUCCGGAUUUACUGGGUGUAAAGGGAGCGUAGACGGCUGGACAAGUCUGAAGUGAAAGCCCAGGGCUCAACCCUGGGACUGCUUUGGAAACUGCCCGGCUAGAGUGCUGGAGAGGUAAGUGGAAUUCCUAGUGUAGCGGUGAAAUGCGUAGAUAUUAGGAGGAACACCAGUGGCGAAGGCGGCUUACUGGACAGUAACUGACGUUGAGGCUCGAAAGCGUGGGGAGCAAACA